rnacentral:rRNA from 1 species
AUUGAACGCUGGCGGCAGGCCUAACACAUGCAAGUCGAACGGUAACAGGAAGAAGCUUGCUUCUUUGCUGACGAGUGGCGGACGGGUGAGUAAUGUCUGGGAAACUGCCUGAUGGAGGGGGAUAACUACUGGAAACGGUAGCUAAUACCGCAUAAUGUCGCAAGACCAAAGAGGGGGACCUUCGGGCCUCUUGCCAUCGGAUGUGCCCAGAUGGGAUUAGCUGGUAGGUGGGGUAACGGCUCACCUAGGCGACGAUCCCUAGCUGGUCUGAGAGGAUGACCAGCCACACUGGAACUGAGACACGGUCCAGACUCCUACGGGAGGCAGCAGUGGGGAAUAUUGCACAAUGGGCGCAAGCCUGAUGCAGCUAUGCCGCGUGUAUGAAGAAGGCCUUCGGGUUGUAAAGUACUUUCAGCGGGGAGGAAGGGAGUAAAGUUAAUACCUUUGCUCAUUGACGUUACCCGCAGAAGAAGCACCGGCUAACUCCGUG